CUUAAACGGCCGCGGUAUCCUAACCGUGCAAAGGUAGCGUAAUCACUUGUCUUAUAAAUAAAGACCCGUAUGAAAUGGCUAAAUGAAUAUUUAACUGUCUCCUUUAACUAAUCAGUGAAACUGAUCUUUCAGUACAAAAGCUGAAAUAAAAACAUAAGACGAGAAGACCCUGUGGAGCUUCAAAUUUUAAACAAAGUAUAAUAAAAAUGUAUUUAUGUUAAAAAUUUUUAGUUGGGGCGACUUUGGAGUAAAACUAAGCCUCCAAGAAAAGGCACAGCCUAACUAAGACCAACAGGCCAAACCAUAAAGACCCAGUAUAUUUACUGACUAAUGAACCAAGUUACCCCAGGGAUAACAGCGCCAUCUUCUUCAAGAGUUCCUAUCGACAAGAAGGUUUACGACCUCGAUGUUGGAUCAGGACACCCUAAUGGUGCAGCCGCUAUUAAAGGUUCGUUUGUUCAACG
rnacentral:rRNA from 1 species